rnacentral:lncRNA from 1 species
GAUAGGCUCAGCCGCCCUGGUGUUCUGACUCUUGUUCCACUCACUGCAUGAAAUGAAGCUGGCGGAAUAUUGCUACAAAAGAAUGAUCGUGGCAGGAGGCGGGGUAGAGCAAUGUCAGGUCACGGUGCGUCUUGCACCGAAAUAUUAAGGCAGUUGUAAUGAUCUUUGUCUCACAGAAAUGAACAGAGUGAUGAAGGAGGCUCAGAGAAAGGCAGCUGAGAAGAGCAACAAGGUAGAAAGGCUGACUUAAAGUAGAGAAAUAAAAAUUCAUCCAGCACCUCCCAAGGUCGGACAUUGGUCAAGAAACGCCCAAAUAGUUCAGGUCGUUUAACUUUGCUCAAAUUCCUCAAGGCAGGUAUCACGACUCCUCCUGCUUUAGAGGUGAGAAUGCCAAGGCUCCCGAGGGCUGAGUAAGGAGCCCUGGUUUGUUUGAGUGCAGGUAACACAACAGGUGUUAAAGCCCAAUCUUCAGGGUCUUAAUCCAACAGAAGUUAACUUUCGCUUAGAAAAAGUUCAGCACCAGAGUUCCUGGUGGAUAAGCGACUUCCCACAAGGUCAUUCCUGGGCCUUCUCUGUGUCUCCCCACCCUGUCCCCCUCUGAGGGUUUCAAGUCCUCGGAAGGUUCUAGAUCCACCCUGCAUGGAGCGCAGGGCCCCACUGCUUGUUUCCAUUGCUGAGCCCAACAGGAAAGGCUGGGAUCGGAGGUCGCCUUGCACCCAGGAUGGAAGGGAAGUGCGUUUGGUGAACACAUAGUGCCCAGGCCACCUACCCAAAGCCGCACAGCUCCAGCAGCAGCCUACAGUCCGACCCGGGCCAAGAAGCGAAGUCCAACCUCAUGCUUUCUCUGACUUGAGUUUUCUGAACCUCAGAGUCCUCUCCUAUAGAAUGGAGAACACGUCUCCUUCACAGGAUUACUAGGAGAAUGAGCAGAGAAAAUGCCUGUGGAGGAGACUUCUGGACACUUAGUUAUGGACAGGGCACCAGGAGAAAGGGUGGUGCUGGAGUCUCUCCUUAGCUCUCAGAGAUCAUCACAAAGAGGGUGCCUCCUGCUUCCGGCCCAUGGCAGAGUGUGUCCGAGAGGCCGCCUCUCACCUCCCUCCCUGGCCUCGCACACGCAGUCGGGACUGGAUUUCUGAUGGCAAUUCAGUGACGCACAAUCGAAAACCAGCAGGGCGGAACAGGAGAUGGGAGCAAACUAAGCUACCGUUUCACUAACUUCACAGAGGAGCCUGACACAGAAAAAUGUAUACAUUGUUUGCCUUAAAGUGAACAAUAGGGAAUAGCUAUCGUAUCUUCAAAGCAGCUUUCCAAGAUCAAAUCCGUCGCAUCCGGAAUGCGUUUCUUUGACCUUGGAACCUCCAGGAGUGGCCAGGCUCCCCCACAGAUCACACGCAGCGUUGCCUAGAAGCCGGUAGCUCUCCCGUAGGACGCUGGGAAGCAGCCAGCUGUUCAUGUGGGAGUGUCGGCGUGCGUUCCUUUGUCAACGUCCUGCAAGAAAGAAAAGGCAAGAACGUCAGCGAUGGCUCCACUGACUGAUUAAGGCAAAGGAAGUCGCCACUAUGCCCUGGAUCUGUUCCUGAAGGAUUACAGCAUGAAGAAAAAUAAUCCCCAGAAUAACAUACGUGUGACAGACCAGGAUUCAGCCCACAGCCUGGAGCCAAGACACCAUCCGACCCAGAUGAACCUGCGUGGAUCACCUGAGCCACUAGUGACCCAGAGAUCCUGAGAGUGAAAAACAUGCAUGGUCCUAUACACCACUGAGUUUUGGGAUGACUUGUUACUUAGCACUAUUAUGACAAUUGCUGACUAAUAUACCAGGCUCCUGGAAGAUUUGUUGUGAGGUUCUCAUAAAAUGAUGAAUGUGAAAUUGCAUUGUAAGCUGCUUUUAAAAAAGGUACUUAGCUGGAGUGAAAGCUCUACAAAGGCAGAAAUUGUUUUGCUACUGUAACUAGAUGAGUUCCUGGAAUAAAAUAGUAGCUCAAUAAAUACCAUAUUAAUUGAAUUGGAUGGAUGGAUGGAUAUAUAUAUAUAUAUAUAUAUAUAUUUUAACCUUGGAACUUCUAUCAUAGGCAUUUUUCCUUGGGUUGAAACUACUAAUUUCUCUUAAGUACAGAUACCCCCCGAGAAAGCUAAAAUGCUGUAUUGUUUAUCACAAUACUUUUGGUUCAUGAUAAUUACUGCCAGAUACCUGGAGUAAUUAUAGAAAUUGUAGAGAACAAGAGGUGAGGGGUGGGAGAGCUAAGAAAUGGAUUUUCCAGUUUUGCCCAUGGCUACUUUGUGCAGCACCUCUGACAAAAGCUUUGGGAGUUUUCCAGAAACUAGCAUUCUGCGCCCUCCCCAAGCACUUAUUUCUUCCUUCCCCAGGGUGCCGUGUUUGCAUUUCUGCAGCACAACAUGGAGGGUAAAGGGAUUGCAGAGUGAGUCUCCACUUCCACUCGUCUCUGUUGUUGGAGAGGAUUAAAAGAGCAGGAGAGGGGCUGCCUGUGUCCUGGGAAAUUUUCAGGACAGAAGAAGAGGCUGGCCCUGUGCAGUAGGUGCAGAGCAGGCACCCGGCCUCCAGGGCCACCGAUGACUCCAGGGCCUGGCAGGAGCCAGGAUGUGGCUCCUCGUGGAGGGCUAUGCCAGCCGUGUGUCCGACCCAGAGCACAGAACCAUUGCCCCAGCAGGGCUUUUCAGUGGAACCGAGUGUCCCCACACGAGCUUUGUCUCCGGAUGCACACGAGGAGAUUCUGCAGCACAGUGGAUCCGAUUAAGCCAUUACAGCUUUCCAGAGGGAAAAGAAAAUUUAGGACGUGUAGAAACUAAGUCUUUGCCCACAAUCAAGUUUCCAUUCAAAUUAUGAAAAGGAAGUGAUUGAAUGAGAAUGAGAUGACCUUCCCCUUCCCCCACGGAUCUUCCUCCCUCUGGUUCCCUCUGCUGCUGACACGAGCACUGCACCCAGGCGACGGCCCCGGGCGCCCAGGCUGACUCCCGCACUCGGGCGCUGAGCUCAUGGCCGGUUCUGAAGAACUCUGGUUCUGCUCAUGCCCCACAUCAAAACGGCCAAGUCUUCAGAUUUGGGAUUUCCCAAGCCAAAAGCAUUUUCAUAGAAUUGCAUUUCAAUAUUUACAUUAUCUUUAAAGAAAGUCCAGCUAAAAAUAAAAAAUAAGUAAAAAUGUUAAAAAUAAAACAACCCCAGAGAGAAGUGGGGUCUACCUGAAUGCAAUGCAAGAUGAAGUGGACAUCUGGACGCCCCUCCUCCAGGGCUUCGCAUGCUCCCCGGGGCUCAGGGGCUCGGGUGGGGCAGCUCCUCAUGGCGUGGGGUAGGGAGGGUGACCCCAGGUUCUUAGUCAGGGCAGGUGCAGGCCUGUGAGACACCAGGCGAAGGAGGCAGAGCAGGCCGUCCUGUGUGGAGUGGCUUAUUCUAAUUCAAACUCCCCUGUUUUCUUCCUCUUCCUUUUGGGGGAACUCAUCCCUCUGAGACCUCAGACAGACAUGCACCAGGCUAUGGGUGGGGGUAAUGCAGGGCAGGCAGGGUGGUGCAGGAGAAGCAUUCUGCUCUUUUCUGCAGUAAGGUAAAUAUCGUGGCCGUCAUCUGUUCCACCUCCUUCCUGCUGUCUGGCUUCGUUAGUGCAGAUCAAGAGCAUAGGUCAGUGCCCUGGAGGGUGUUCAGGAUGACCGUAGCAGAGGUCUCCGUGCCACAAAUGGAACCCAGCCUUGCUAACUUCUCCAGGCUCGGUGCCCAGCACCCCCAGGGCACACAGAAACCACUGUGGUGUGAGUGGUGCUGGAGCAGCAGACACAGGCGCGUUGUUGUCGGGAGGUGGGGGAGCCCCCGCCGGCUUGCGUGUUUUCUUCCUUAGCAACUGCCCCUCAGAAGCAAUACAGGACUUACCCUAAUGUCACCUCUGCUGAGUCCACGCCGGGGAAUGGCUGAGAAACAACUUCAUGCCAGAAUCCUGUCAAUCUAAGUCUCUACAAAAUUCUAGGAACCAAGAAAUUAUAAACUGAAAGCUCUUAAUGAGAAGCUCUCUGUGGGCAAUGAUCUGGGCUCUGCAGGGGGCUCCAGCAGCUGCCAGAGGGAAAUAAACGUGGAAAAGAACAACCUGAGGCUGCUCGGCUGAAGGCCGGAGCAUGGGGACUGCCCUAACCCUCACUCACGGUGCAGGGAGCUUCCCAGGAAGUCUCAGCUCACCUGCAGCCUUCGAACCAGGAGAGGCUCCGUGAAAGAGCAGGAUGCUCGAGGUCUGGCCUCAACCCUGUCAUCAUUGUCAAUCCCUGCGGCUCCUCCUUCCAGGGAGGCUGGGCAGAAGAGCAACAGGAGCAGGUGCUCAGGGGCAACACAGAAGACAGGAGCAGGUGCUCAGGGACAACAAGUACUCAGGGGACAGAAGGUGCCAGGAGGUAGUAGGUGUUCAGGGGGCAGCAGGUGCUCAGGGAGCAGCAGGUGCUCAAAGGCAGUACAGCAGACAGGAGCAGGUCAUUUCUAAAUAAGUUUAAAAACUGAAACAUGAAUUACUAAGCAUGAGUUUAAAGUUUAUAUCCUUUGACAUCGUGUUUUUACAUAGUAUAGAGAAGCUAAAUGUAUUUGGUUCUAUUAAUAAACAUGAAAAUUGUCCGGGUGCAGUGGCUCACACCUGUAAUCCCAGCACUUUGAGAGGUUGAGGAGGGCAGAUAGCUUGAGCCCAGGAGUUUGAGACCAUCCCAGGCAAUGUAGUGAAACUUUGUCUCUACAAAAAAAUACAAAAAUUAGCCAGGCGUGGUGGCUCCAGUUUUGACUGCAAGGAUGGACCCCUGAAAACGCCCAAGGCUUCAGAGGAUGACCGCUAGAGCCAGCAGUUUCUCUUUCCAUAAUCAAUCAUGUUAUUUGAUAGUUAUGAGAGUUGAUUCAAGAUUGAGAGAUGGAAUAGGCUGUUAUUACUCAGGCUCAUUUCCUAAAGUAAAUCAUAAUUUAUAGAUGUGGGACACAUAGGCUUUGAGAUUCCGAUACAAUUAGUGCAAACAUUUAGAAGAUAAAUUGGCCUCCAUUCCAAGGUAACCAAAUGGAUCCCUUUUUUAAGAAUUGAGAAUACUAUAAAACAAAGAUGCAAAAAUACCCAAAAUUGAUCAAUAAGGAUCACGCAGAGAUUUAUUUUUUGAAGACAAUACUAACAUUUCAAAUGUAGGAAAUACUAUUUUAUGCUUUAAACAGGGACAUUUAGUCUCGAGUUCUAGUUUUAAUGCCCUAACCUGGUUUAUCCAUAAAGUGGAGAGAGGCUAGUGCAUAAAUUCAUGUGGUACAGCCAAUCUUAUUCAUUUUUUCUCAAGGGACAGUUAUAACCAGAAUGAACAAAGCCUGGAAUUCAUUAACAGAGCUUACAGGGAAGGUGAGUGGUUUCGAAGCAUUUUUACUAAUCCUUUGAUAAGUCACCCUGAUGUGAGAGGUGGAUUUAGCGACUUGCUUAUGCCAAGUAGCAUAUGGCAAAAGUAAUGAUAUUUCACUACUGCACGUAUCUGCAAAGGGAGCACUCACUCUGGGGCAAGCCAGGCCUGUGUCAUGAAGACACUCGAGCAGCCCUGUGGAGAGGCCCAGGCGUAAGAAACAGACGCCUCUUACCAACAGUCAGUGAGGAACUGAGGUCUCCUGCCAUGAGCCAUGUGAGUGCGCGAUCUUGGAGGUGGGUUCUCUAGCCCCUGUCAGGCAGUCAGAUGAUGCAGCCCCAGUCACAUGCAAUCAAGUCUAGGUUCUUGAUAUUCUAGUUACUUAAAGAUUGUCAAGCAAGAAGUCAUUUCUUCCCCGGCUAUGCUAUUCAAAGGUUCAUGAAUCUUUUGGAUUUUGUAUAUUUUAGAAAUUCCAGAAUUUAUCAGUAGGAACCAGAAAUAGAAUAUCCAGCAGGAACGGCAUGAUGUAUAAAAAAAUAUAGUCCUUUUUGUACAUUCCCCUCUUCCAUUAUUCUAACUGUAUCUACCUUCAAAUCACACCUAAGAUUUCAGGGAUAGACCCUUUACCUCGAAGAUAAUGAAACCCAUCAGAUUAUAAUUUUUUUUUUGUUAUGGACAAUUCCCUUCCCUAAUAUUUCUCAAACUGAAGGUUGUAAUCUACUUCAAAGAGUCGUCCAAGGAAGGCAUGGUGAUCGACGAGUUUCAAAUAACUAUCAAAUACAUUUAUUUAUCCUAAAAACGUUGACAGUAAUGAUAGAAAUACUCAUUUUUAAAAUUCUUGAAUUCUGAUACAUAGUUCUAUUUUAAAGUCCUGAAAUACCAGUAUUUUUUUAUUGGUAUACUACAAUUAUACCACUAUUUUUGGAAACUAAGGUCUGAAUUAUUAACUUCUUUUUUUUGAGAUGAGGUGUCAUCUGUUGUUGUUCAGGCUGGAGUGCAGUGGUGCAAUCACGGCUCCCUGCAGCCUCAGAUCCCUGGGCUCAAAGAAAUCCUGUGAGCAUGGCACUGUACCCAGCUGAUUUUUUAAUGGUUUGUAGAGACAGGGCUUUGCUUUGUUGCCCAGGCUGGUCUCAAGCUCCUAACAUCAAGCAAUCCUCCUACCUUGGCCUCCCAAACUGCUAGGAUUACAGGUGUGAGUCACCAUGCCCAGCCUUUAUUUAUCUCUUAAAAUGAAAGUCAUUGACUAAACUAUUCAAUUUUGUGCCAAAAAAAAGAUGAACUAAUGUGCAGUCUUCAAAACUGAUAGGAUUAUUCUGGAAAAUUUUGUACAUACACACACAAAAAAAGAAGCAUUGAUGACUUUUGUUAAAAACACCAAAUAAUAUGUCAUUUUAAAUGUUUAUGAACGAUUAAUUUCUUAUUUCAAUAUAAUGCUUAGUUGAUUAUUUGUAAUAAAAGUUUAUUUUUGUUUAUGUGCUAAUCCAUUAGGAUGUGAUAUAGUUUGGAUAUUUGUCCCUACCCACAUCUCAUGCUGAGUUGUAAUCCCCAAUGCCAGAGGUGGGGCCUGGUGGGAGAUGUUUGGGUUCUGGGGGUGGGUCCCUCAUGGCUUGAUGCUGUCUUCUUGAGAGUGAGUUCUCAUGAGAUCUGGUUAUUUAAAAGUGGGUGGCACCUCCCUGCCCACUGUCUCUCACUUGUUCCUGCUCCUGCUCCUGCCAUGUGAUGUGCCUGCUCCCCCUUUGCCUUCCGCCAUGAUUGAAGCUUCCUGAGGCCUCCCAGAAGUAGAAGCCGCCAUGCUUCCUGUAUAGCCUGUAGAACCACAAGCCAAUUAAACUUUUUUUAAAUGAAUUACCCAGUCUCAGCUAUUUCUUUAUAGUAAUGCAAGAAUGGCAUAAUACAGGAUGAUAAUAUGUUGAAGGUUUAUAGAUUCAAAAAAUGUAUUUUAGUUAAUUUGAAAAAUAAUGUAAGAAACACAUGAUAAAUAUUCAAUUACGUUUGUGAAAUACACUAAAUCCCUACCUGCUUAUUUCCUAGCUGGGCUGCUAUAACACAGUGCCACUCACUGGGUGGCUUUUACUGCUCACAGUUCUGGAGACGUGGACAUUUACAAUGAAGACUGAUUAGGGCCAGUUUCCUGAUUCACAGAUGGGGCCUCUCGCUGUGUCCUCACAUGGCAGAGGGACAAACAGGCUCCCUCUCUCUCUUUUAUAUGGGCACUGAUCCCAUACAUGAGAGGUCCACUCUCAGGACCAAAUCACCCCCUUGAGACCCCACCUCUCAACACUAUCACCAUAAGGAUUAGCCUUCAGCAUCUGAAUGUGUGGGGAGGAAGCACAAACAUUUAGAUCACAGCGCCCUGUCCCUGGUUUCCCAAAGUUCACAUCUUCCUCACGUGACAAGUACAUUCAUUCCAUCCCAACAGCCCUACAAGUCUUAACUCGUUCCAGCAUCAACUCAAAAGUGUGAAGUCCAGAGUCUCAUUUAAACAUCGUCUAAAUCAAAUACGUGUGUGAUUUAAGGUAAAAUUCAUUGUGAGACAAACUGCUUUCCAGCUGUGAGCCUGUAAAAUCAAACAUGUUAUGUGUUUCCAAAUUCAAUGGUAGGUGUUAUGGUUUGGACUUGUGUCCCCACCCAAAUCUCAUUCAAUUAUAAUCCCCGGUGUUGGAGGUGAGGCCUGGUGGGAAGUGAUUGGAUCAUGGGCCGGAGUUCUUAAGAAUGGUUUGGUACCAUCUCCCUUGGUACUGCAUAGUGCGUGAGUUCUCAUAAAAUCCAGUUGUUUAAAAGUGUAUAGCACUUGUCCUUCUCUCUCCCUCCUGCUCCAGCCAUGUAAGAUGCCUGCUUCCCCUUUGCUUUUCACCAUGAUUGUAAGUUUCCUGAGGCCUCCCCAGAAGCUGAGCAGAUGCCAGCAUCAUGCUUCCUAUACAACCAAUGGAACUAUGAG